UUUUCUGUGGAAACACUGUUACAAAAUGAGAAAGAUGGUAUGCUUGUUUUGAAUAUUAGGGCUUUCCACCUUUCGGAGGUCAUAAAGCAGGUUUUUAACGUCAUAAGGUUGCAGCAGAAGUGAAAAAAUUAUCACUCUCUCUUGUUUUAGCCCCUGAUUUGCCUGUCAAAGCUUUGGGGGACAUAGAAAGGCUAAUGCAAGUUAUUCUGAUUGUAAUGGGUAAUGCUGUGAAAUUCACUAAGGAGGGUCAUAUAUUAGUAAAAGCAUCUGUGGUAAAACCCAACCCUCGUAGAGCCUGGCGGCCUUCUAAAUUCCUUUUGGUAUCAAGUGACACUCAUUUUUACUUGAAAGUGCAGGUUGAAGAUUCUGGUUGUGG